rnacentral:rRNA from 1 species
AGAGUUUCAUCCUGGCUCAGGACGAACGCUGGCGGCGCGCCUAACACAUGCAAGUCGAACGAGCGAGAGAGAGCUUGCUUUCUCAAGCGAGUGGCGAACGGGUGAGUAACGCGUGAGGAACCUGCCUCAAAGAGGGGGACAACAGUUGGAAACGACUGCUAAUACCGCAUAAGCCCACAGCUCGGCAUCGAGCAGAGGGAAAAGGAGCAAUCCGCUUUGAGAUGGCCUCGCGUCCGAUUAGCUAGUUGGUGAGGUAAUGGCCCACCAAGGCGACGAUCGGUAGCCGGACUGAGAGGUUGAACGGCCACAUUGGGACUGAGACACGGCCCAGACUCCUACGGGAGGCAGCAGUGGGGAAUAUUGCACAAUGGGGGAAACCCUGAUGCAGCGACGCCGCGUGGAGGAAGAAGGUCUUCGGAUUGUAAACUCCUGUUGUUGAGGAAGAUAAUGACGGUACUCAACAAGGAAGUGACGGCUAACUACGUGCCAGCAGCCGCGGUAAAACGUAGGUCACAAGCGUUGUCCGGAAUUACUGGGUGUAAAGGGAGCGCAGGCGGGAAGACAAGUUGGAAGUGAAAUCUAUGGGCUCAACCCAUAAACUGCUUUCAAAACUGUUUUUCUUGAGUAGUGCAGAGGUAGGCGGAAUUCCCGGUGUAGCGGUGGAAUGCGUAGAUAUCGGGAGGAACACCAGUGGCGAAGGCGGCCUACUGGGCACCAACUGACGCUGAGGCUCGAAAGUGUGGGUAGCAAACAGGAUUAGAUACCCUGGUAGUCCACACCGUAAACGAUGAUUACUAGGUGUUGGAGGAUUGACCCCUUCAGUGCCGCAGUUAACACAAUAAGUAAUCCACCUGGGGAGUACGACCGCAAGGUUGAAACUCAAAGGAAUUGACGGGGGCCCGCACAAGCAGUGGAGUAUGUGGUUUAAUUCGACGCAACGCGAAGAACCUUACCAAGUCUUGACAUCCCUUGACGAACAUAGAAAUAUGUUUUCUCUUCGGAGCAAGGAGACAGGUGGUGCAUGGUUGUCGUCAGCUCGUGUCGUGAGAUGUUGGGUUAAGUCCCGCAACGAGCGCAACCCUUACUGUCAGUUACUACGCAAGAGGACUCUGGCAGGACUGCCGUUGACAAAACGGAGGAAGGUGGGGAUGACGUCAAAUCAUCAUGCCCUUUAUGACUUGGGCUACACACGUACUACAAUGGCGUUAAACAAAGAGAAGCAAGACCGCGAGGUGGAGCAAAACUCAGAAACAACGUCCCAGUUCGGACUGCAGGCUGCAACUCGCCUGCACGAAGUCGGAAUUGCUAGUAAUCGUGGAUCAGCAUGCCACGGUGAAUACGUUCCCGGGCCUUGUACACACCGCCCGUC